rnacentral:rRNA from 1 species
UACAUGGGGUGCAAACGUUGCUCGGAAUUAUUGGGCGUAAAGCGCACGUAGGCGGAUCGUUAAGUCGGGGGUGAAAUCCUGGAGCUCAACUCCAGAACUGCCUUCGAUACUGGCGAUCUUGAGUCCGGAAGAGGUGAGUGGAACUGCGAGUGUAGAGGUGAAAUUCGUAGAUAUUCGCAAGAACACCAGUGGCGAAGGCGGCUCACUGGCCCGAUACUGACGCUGAGGCACGAAAGCGUGGGGAGCAAACAGG